rnacentral:rRNA from 1 species
AACCGCGGUUAUACGAGCAGCCCAAGUUAUUAGAAAUCGGCGCAAAGCGUGGUUAAGAAAAAUCUUUACAACUAAAGCCGAACGCUUUCACGACUGUUAUACGUCUCUGAAAGUAAGAAGCUCUACUACGAAAGUGGCUUUAUAACUCUGACCCCACGAAAGAUGGGAAA